UGGGAUAAAAGGUGCAGCACACUUAGAUGUU
rnacentral:piRNA from 1 species